CCUUCGGGGUGCAGCAGUGAGGAAUAUUGGUCAAUGGACGGAAGUCUGAACCAGCCAUGCCGCGUGCAGGAUGACGGCUCUAUGAGUUGUAAACUGCUUUUGUACGAGAAUAAUAGUUCUUACGUGUAGGGAUUUGAAUGUAUCGUACGAAUAAGGAUCGGCUAAAUCCGUGCCAGCAGCCGCGGUAAUACGGAGGAUUCGAGCGUUAUGCGGAUUUAUUGGGUUUAAAGGGUGCGCAGUCGGUCUUUUAAGUCAGCGUUCAACGACCGGGGCCCAACCCCGGCCCGCCGUUGAAACUGGCAGUCGCGAGUUGGAGAGAAGUAUGCGGAAUGCGCGGUGUAGCGGGGAAAUGAAUAGAUAUCGCGCAGAACUCCGAUUGCGAAGGCAGCAUGCCGGCUCCACACUGACGCUGAGGCACGAAAGCGUGGGUAUCGAACAGGAUUAGAUACCCUAGUAGUC
rnacentral:rRNA from 1 species